UAGGGAAUCUUCGGCAAUGGACGAAGUCUGACCGAGCAACGCCGCGUGAGUGAAGAAGGUUUUCGGAUCGUAAAACUCUGUUGGUAGAGAAGAACGUUGGUGAGAGUGGAAAGCUCAUCAAGUGACGGUAACUACCCAGAAAGGGACGGCUAACUACGUGCCAGCAGCCGCGGUAAUACGUAGGUCCCCGAGCGUUGUCCGGAUUUAUUGGGCGUAAAGCGAGCGCAGGUGGUUUAUUAAGUCUGGUGUAAAAGGCAGUGGCUCACCAUUGUAUGCAUUGGAAACUGGUAGACUUGAGUGCAGGAGAGGAGAGUGGAAUUCCAUGUGUAGCGGUGAAAUGCGUAGAUAUAUGGAGGAACACCGGUGGCGAAAGCGGCUCUCUGGCCUGUAACUGACACUGAGGCUCGAAAGCGUGGGGAGCAAACAGGAUUAGAUACCCUGGUAGUCCACGCCGUAAACGAUGAGUGCUAGAUGUAGGGAGCUAUAAGUUCUCUGUAUCGCAGCUAACGCAAUAAGCACUCCGCCUGGGGAGUACGACCGCAAGGUUGAAAC
rnacentral:rRNA from 1 species